UAGUGGGUCUGGAGUUGAGAAUUAUAAUCAUUCAUAGCUUGGAGUUUCCGCUCGUAAUUGGAAUCAAAUAGGGCCUUAUCUUGCUCAGAAUCAAUAACCCACUGCUGCUCCUCUUGCUUCUCCUCCUCAUCCAGCAUCAAAAUAGAAGCAAAUAUAUCUCUCAUUGCACUCUUCUUCAAAUCCUCUUCCAUUGAUUGUUGGAAAUGGUCUUUAUUACCAUCUCCACCAUCGUCUUCUCCCCUCCUCUUACGCUUCUUCGAAUCGUUGUUCACACUAUAGGUUCCACCAUUACUAGUAUCCAUGUCUUGAAAUAAACUAUAGAAGUAUGAAAUCUCUUCCUGAUUAAGAAAUGGGAAAGAUGAAACUUCCAUCCAAGUGAAAGCAAGAAAAAGUGUUUGAGAAAAUGUCUGAAAGGAAGAUGCGAACUCUGAAAAAUGGUAUUCAGAUUUGUU
rnacentral:misc_RNA from 1 species